ACCGGCGCAAGGGUGAGUAACACGUAGGCAACCUGCCUGGAGGAUGGGAAUAACUUCGAGAAAUCGAGGCUAAUGCCCGAUGAUGUUCUAGUAUUGAAAGCCGUGCCUCUGGAUGGGCCUGCGUCCCAUUAGGUAGUUGGUGAGGUAACGGCCCACCAAGCCUACGAUGGGUAGCUGGUCUGAGAGGACGAUCAGCCACACUGGAACUGAGACACGGUCCAGACUCCUACGGGAGGCAGCAGUGAGGAAUAUUGCGCAAUGCCCGCAAGGGUGACGCAGCGACGCCGCGUGGAGGAUGAAGGCCUAUGGGUCGUAAACUCCUUUUGUGAGGGAAUAAUGAAUGUACCUCAGGAAAAAGCAUCGGCUAACUACGUGCCAGCAGCCGCGGUAAUACGUAGGAUGCUAGCGUUGUCCGGAUUUACUG
rnacentral:rRNA from 1 species